rnacentral:rRNA from 1 species
UGCCAGACUCCUACGGGAGGCAGCAGUGGGGAAUAUUGCACAAUGGGCGAAAGCCUGAUGCAGCAACGCCGCGUGAGCGAUGAAGGCCUUCGGGUCGUAAAGCUCUGUCCUCAAGGAAGAUAAUGACGGUACUUGAGGAGGAAGCCCCGGCUAACUACGUGCCAGCAGCCGCGGUAAUACGUAGGGGGCAAGCGUUAUCCGGAUUUACUGGGUGUAAAGGGAGCGUAGGCGGUUAGAUAAGUCUGAUGUGAAAGCCCACAGCUUAACUGUGGGAUUGCAUUGGAAACUAUAGAACUAGAGUGUCGGAGAGGUAAGUGGAAUUCCUAGUGUAGCGGUGAAAUGCGUAGAUAUUAGGAGGAACACCAGUGGCGAAGGCGGCUUACUGGACGAUGACUGACGCUGAGGCUCGAAAGCGUGGGGAGCAAACAGGAUUAGAUACCCGAGUA